rnacentral:rRNA from 1 species
GAUGAACGCUGGCGGCGUGCUUAACACAUGCAAGUCGAACGGAGAGGCCCAAGCUUGCUUGGGUACUCGAGUGGCGAACGGGUGAGUAACACGUGGGUGAUCUGCCCUGCACUUCGGGAGAAGCCUGGUAAACUGGGACUAAUACCGGAUAGGACGACGGUUUGGAUGCGAUUUUGGAAAGAUUUUUCGAUGUGGGUUGAGCUCGCGUCAUAUCAGCUUGUUGUUGGGGUAAUGUGCUACCAAGGCGCAGACGGGUAGCGGUCCUGAGAGGGUGUAAGGCGACACUGGGACUGAGAUACGGCACCGACAGCUACGGGAGGGAGCAGUGGGGAAUAUUGCCCAAUGGGCGCAAGGCUGAUGCAGAGACGUCGCGUGGGGGAUGACGGCCUUCGGGGUGUAAACCCCUUGCGCGAGUGACGAAGCGUUUUUGUGACGGUACCUGGAGAAGAAGCACCGGCUAACUACGUG